rnacentral:rRNA from 1 species
GAUGAACGCUGGCGGCGUGCCUAAUACAUGCAAGUCGAGCGAACAGACGAGGAGCUUGCUCCUUCGACGUUAGCGGCGGACGGGUGAGUAACACGUAGGUAACCUACCUAUAAGACUGGGAUAACUUCGGGAAACCGGAGCUAAUACCGGAUAAUAUUUCGAACCGCAUGGUUCGAUAGUGAAAGAUGGCUUUGCUAUCACUUAUAGAUGGACCUGCGCCGUAUUAGCUAGUUGGUAAGUUAACGGCUUACCAAGGCAACGAUACGUAGCCGACCUGAGAGGGUGAUCGGCCACACUGGAACUGAGACACGGUCCAGACUCCUACGGGAGGCAGCAGUAGGGAAUCUUCCGCAAUGGGCGAAAGCCUGACGGAGCAACGCCGCGUGAGUGAUGAAGGUCUUCGGAUCGUAAAACUCUGUUAUUAGGGAAGAACAAACGUGUAAGUAACUGUGCACGUCUUGACGGUACCUAAUCAGAAAGCCACGGCUAACUACGUG